rnacentral:rRNA from 1 species
UACGGAGGGGGCUAGCGUUGUUCGGAAUUACUGGGCGUAAAGCGCACGUAGGCGGCUUUGCAAGUUAGAGGUGAAAGCCCGGGGCUCAACUCCGGAAUUGCCUUUAAAACUGCAUCGCUAGAAUUGUGGAGAGGUAAGUGGAAUUCCGAGUGUAGAGGUGAAAUUCGUAGAUAUUCGGAAGAACACCAGUGGCGAAGGCGGCUCUCUGGACCGAGACUGACGCUGAGGCGCGAAAGCGUGGGGAGCAAACAGG